GCUCAGAUUUAUCCAGAGCAACCUACUGCCUCCACAAUAGCUAAAUCGAUAGAGAUUCUGACUAAAGAUAUGGACUUCCUCCUCCAGAAACAUGCGCAGAAGUGCAUACACCAUUUACUUCGUUUCACUGCACUGGAAGAUGAUUUACUGAACAUAAGCAAUAUUUGUAAAGGAUUAUGCCUCCGUUCUCUUUUGAAAGAAAAAUGACUGUUUCCUGGAAAAAAAAUUUAGAAAAUUCUGACUGUUCAGUAGUACAUCUCAAUGAGAUCUAGUUUAAAUGAGUUGAAACUGUGCUUUGGCUUUUGACAUAGCAACAUAUACUUCAUCUUUGAUAACCCAUUACAACUUUUUCCCUAUGGCAACAAGUGCUGAAAUCCUUGACUCACAAAGUUCUCAAAAUGUGGUUCUGAGACCACCACCUUUAAAAAUGCACCAUAUUAUGUAUUUUUACAAGCACCAGAAAGAGCUGUGGUAAUUUUUCCUGUUUUCCUGAAUCUUCUUUGCAACUCUUAAAAG
rnacentral:lncRNA from 10 species